UUUUAUAAAUUUUAAAAUUUUUUCUUAUCCAUAUAUAUAUAAACAUAUAUAUUCAUUCAAGCGUACAACUAUAUUUUCAUAAGGUAUUUACUCUCUUUUAUUAUCUCUACUUUUACUAUUCAAUAUUUUUAUUUUCGUACUUUUAUGAGUUCUUUAUUUUAUUAUCUUCUACUUUAUAAUUUAAUAUUUUUAUUUUAUUAUCUGUUGCUCUUUCAAUUUUUGGUUAAUUUAUAUAUCAUGCAUAUAUGAAAGGCAAUAAGGGAGGAGACAAUUAAAGCUGCUCAAGAUGAGGCCUCUGUGCAGUAUAGAAACCUCCGGUGUUGAAACAACCAACAUACACUAAGACAGAAAAUUAGUAGUUGUAUCUUUAUUGUUCGGCUGCCAUCUCGGUGUCGUUGUUGAAUGUUUAUGACAGCUAGAACUAGAAUGGAAGAAACUUACGAAGAUUUCUCAUUGUUCCACUUCAUGCUUCAGCCUUCCGCCGCUGGUAUUUCUUUUUGCCAAGUUGUAUAUAUUACUAUCAACAACCCGUAGAAGUUUUUACAAUUGACUUUUCUUUUUCAUUUAGCCAAUUAUAUAUAUAAUUUCCGGUUGUGCUAUUUCAUGGGUUGUCUUGACGUUGACUAAUGGGUUGUCAGCUUUGAAAGUGCAAACUCAACUUUUUUUUUAAAAAAAAAAAAAUAAAAUAGAAACGAUGGUGAAUUUAUCAAAUUUAAUGUCUAAGAUUCAAAUAUUUCAAGUAUGCAAUCAUAUUAAAAAUUUCUAAUAAAGAGUUUCAUAU
rnacentral:lncRNA from 1 species